rnacentral:rRNA from 1 species
UUAAGCGACUAAGCGUACACGGUGGAUGCCCUGGCAGUCAGAGGCGAUGAAGGACGUGCUAAUCUGCGAUAAGCGUCGGUAAGGUGAUAUGAACCGUUAUAACCGGCGAUUUCCGAAUGGGGAAACCCAGUGUGUUUCGACACACUAUCAUUAACUGAAUCCAUAGGUUAAUGAGGCGAACCGGGGGAACUGAAACAUCUAAGUACCCCGAGGAAAAGAAAUCAACCGAGAUUCCCCCAGUAGCGGCGAGCGAACGGGGAGCAGCCCAGAGCCUGAAUCAGUGUGUGUGUUAGUGGAAGCGUCUGGAAAGGCGCGCGAUACAGGGUGACAGCCCCGUACACAAAAAUGCACAUACUGUGAGCUCGAUGAGUAGGGCGGGACACGUGGUAUCCUGUCUGAAUAUGGGGGGACCAUCCUCCAAGGCUAAAUACUCCUGACUGACCGAUAGUGAACCAGUACCGUGAGGGAAAGGCGAAAAGAACCCCGGCGAGGGGAGUGAAAAAGAACCUGAAACCGUGUACGUACAAGCAGUGGGAGCACAGAGCAAUCUGUGUGACUGCGUACCUUUUGUAUAAUGGGUCAGCGACUUAUAUUCUGUAGCAAGGUUAACCGAAUAGGGGAGCCGAAGGGAAACCGAGUCUUAACUGGGCGUUAAGUUGCAGGGUAUAGACCCGAAACCCGGUGAUCUAGCCAUGGGCAGGUUGAAGGUUGGGUAACACUAACUGGAGGACCGAACCGACUAAUGUUGAAAAAUUAGCGGAUGACUUGUGGCUGGGGGUGAAAGGCCAAUCAAACCGGGAGAUAGCUGGUUCUCCCCGAAAGCUAUUUAGGUAGCGCCUCGUGAAUUCAUCUCCGGGGGUAGAGCACUGUUUCGGCAAGGGGGUCAUCCCGACUUACCAACCCGAUGCAAACUGCGAAUACCGGAGAAUGUUAUCACGGGAGACACACGGCGGGUGCUAACGUCCGUCGUGAAGAGGGAAACAACCCAGACCGCCAGCUAAGGUCCCAAAGUCAUGGUUAAGUGGGAAACGAUGUGGGAAGGCCCAGACAGCCAGGAUGUUGGCUUAGAAGCAGCCAUCAUUUAAAGAAAGCGUAAUAGCUCACUGGUCGAGUCGGCCUGCGCGGAAGAUGUAACGGGGCUAAACCAUGCACCGAAGCUGCGGCAGCGACGCUUAUGCGUUGUUGGGUAGGGGAGCGUUCUGUAAGCCUGCGAAGGUGUGCUGUGAGGCAUGCUGGAGGUAUCAGAAGUGCGAAUGCUGACAUAAGUAACGAUAAAGCGGGUGAAAAGCCCGCUCGCCGGAAGACCAAGGGUUCCUGUCCAACGUUAAUCGGGGCAGGGUGAGUCGACCCCUAAGGCGAGGCCGAAAGGCGUAGUCGAUGGGAAACAGGUUAAUAUUCCUGUACUUGGUGUUACUGCGAAGGGGGGACGGAGAAGGCUAUGUUGGCCGGGCGACGGUUGUCCCGGUUUAAGCGUGUAGGCUGGUUUUCCAGGCAAAUCCGGAAAAUCAAGGCUGAGGCGUGAUGACGAGGCACUACGGUGCUGAAGCAACAAAUGCCCUGCUUCCAGGAAAAGCCUCUAAGCAUCAGGUAACAUCAAAUCGUACCCCAAACCGACACAGGUGGUCAGGUAGAGAAUACCAAGGCGCUUGAGAGAACUCGGGUGAAGGAACUAGGCAAAAUGGUGCCGUAACUUCGGGAGAAGGCACGCUGAUAUGUAGGUGAAGUCCCUCGCGGAUGGAGCUGAAAUCAGUCGAAGAUACCAGCUGGCUGCAACUGUUUAUUAAAAACACAGCACUGUGCAAACACGAAAGUGGACGUAUACGGUGUGACGCCUGCCCGGUGCCGGAAGGUUAAUUGAUGGGGUCAGCGCAAGCGAAGCUCUUGAUCGAAGCCCCGGUAAACGGCGGCCGUAACUAUAACGGUCCUAAGGUAGCGAAAUUCCUUGUCGGGUAAGUUCCGACCUGCACGAAUGGCGUAAUGAUGGCCAGGCUGUCUCCACCCGAGACUCAGUGAAAUUGAACUCGCUGUGAAGAUGCAGUGUACCCGCGGCAAGACGGAAAGACCCCGUGAACCUUUACUAUAGCUUGACACUGAACAUUGAGCCUUGAUGUGUAGGAUAGGUGGGAGGCUUUGAAGUGUGGACGCCAGUCUGCAUGGAGCCGACCUUGAAAUACCACCCUUUAAUGUUUGAUGUUCUAACGUUGACCCGUGAUCCGGGUUGCGGACAGUGUCUGGUGGGUAGUUUGACUGGGGCGGUCUCCUCCUAAAGAGUAACGGAGGAGCACGAAGGUUGGCUAAUCCUGGUCGGACAUCAGGAGGUUAGUGCAAUGGCAUAAGCCAGCUUGACUGCGAGCGUGACGGCGCGAGCAGGUGCGAAAGCAGGUCAUAGUGAUCCGGUGGUUCUGAAUGGAAGGGCCAUCGCUCAACGGAUAAAAGGUACUCCGGGGAUAACAGGCUGAUACCGCCCAAGAGUUCAUAUCGACGGCGGUGUUUGGCACCUCGAUGUCGGCUCAUCACAUCCUGGGGCUGAAGUAGGUCCCAAGGGUAUGGCUGUUCGCCAUUUAAAGUGGUACGCGAGCUGGGUUUAGAACGUCGUGAGACAGUUCGGUCCCUAUCUGCCGUGGGCGCUGGAGAACUGAGGGGGGCUGCUCCUAGUACGAGAGGACCGGAGUGGACGCAUCACUGGUGUUCGGGUUGUCAUGCCAAUGGCACUGCCCGGUAGCUAAAUGCGGAAGAGAUAAGUGCUGAAAGCAUCUAAGCACGAAACUUGCCCCGAGAUGAGUUCUCCCUGACUCCUUGAGAGUCCUGAAGGAACGUUGAAGACGACGACGUUGAUAGGCCGGGUGUGUAAGCGCAGCGAUGCGUUGAGCUAACCGGUACUAAUGAACCGUGAGGCUUAACCUU